rnacentral:rRNA from 1 species
UGGGGAAUAUUGCACAAUGGGCGCAAGCCUGAUGCAGCCAUGCCGCGUGUGUGAAGAAGGCCUUCGGGUUGUAAAGCACUUUCAGCGGGGAGGAAGGCGUUAAGGUUAAUAACCUUGGCGAUUGACGUUACCCGCAGAAGAAGCACCGGCUAACUCCGUGCCAGCAGCCGCGGUAAUACGGAGGGUGCAAGCGUUAAUCGGAAUUACUGGGCGUAAAGCGCACGCAGGCGGUCUGUCAAGUCGGAUGUGAAAUCCCCGGGCUCAACCUGGGAACUGCAUUCGAAACUGGCAGGCUAGAGUCUUGUAGAGGGGGGUAGAAUUCCAGGUGUAGCGGUGAAAUGCGUAGAGAUCUGGAGGAAUACCGGUGGAGAAGGCGGCCCCCUGGACAAAGACUGACGCUCAGGUGCGAAAGCGUGGGGAGCAAACAGG